rnacentral:rRNA from 1 species
GACGAUUGCUGGCGGCGUGCUUAACACAUGCAAGUCGAACGAUGAAGCCUAGCUUGCUAGGUGGAUUAGUGGCGAACGGGUGAGUAAUACGUGAGUAACCCACCUUUAACUCUGGGAUAAGCCUGGGAAACUGGGUCUAAUACCGGAUACGACCAAUCUCCGCAUGGGGUGUUGGUGGAAAGCGUUAUGUAGUGGUUAUAGAUGGGCUCACGGCCUAUCAGCUUGUUGGUGAGGUAACGGCUCACCAAGGCGACGACGGGUAGCCGGCCUGAGAGGGUGACCGGCCACACUGGGACUGAGACACGGCCCAGACUCCUACGGGAGGCAGCAGUGGGGAAUAUUGCACAAUGGGCGCAAGCCUGAUGCAGCGACGCCGCGUGAGGGAUGACGGCCUUCGGGUUGUAAACCUCUGUUAGCAGGGAAGAAGAGAGAUUGACGGUACCUGCAGAGAAAGCGCCGGCUAACUACGUGCCAGCAGCCGCGGUAAUACGUAGGGCGCGAGCGUUGUCCGGAAUUAUUGGGCGUAAAGAGCUUGUAGGCGGUUUGUCGCGUCUGCUGUGAAGGCCGGGGCUUAACUCCGUGUAUCGCAGUGGGUACGGGCAGACUAGAGUGCAGUAGGGGAGACUGGAAUUCCUGGUGUAGCGGUGGAAUGCGCAGAUAUCAGGAGGAACACCGAUGGCGAAGGCAGGUCUCUGGGCUGUAACUGACGCUGAGAAGCGAAAGCAUGGGGAGCGAACAGGAUUAGAUACCCUGGUAGUCCAUGCCGUAAACGUUGGGCACUAGGUGUGGGGGACAUUCCACGUUUUCCGCGCCGUAGCUAACGCAUUAAGUGCCCCGCCUGGGGAGUACGGCCGCAAGGCUAAAACUCAAAGAAAUUGACGGGGGCCCGCACAAGCGGCGGAGCAUGCGGAUUAAUUCGAUGCAACGCGAAGAACCUUACCAAGGCUUGACAUAUACUGGACCGCAUCAGAGAUGGUGUUUCCCUUCGGGGCUGGUAUACAGGUGGUGCAUGGUUGUCGUCAGCUCGUGUCGUGAGAUGUUGGGUUAAGUCCCGCAACGAGCGCAACCCUCGUUCUAUGUUGCCAGCACGUUAUGGUGGGGACUCAUAGGAGACUGCCGGGGUCAACUCGGAGGAAGGUGGGGAUGACGUCAAAUCAUCAUGCCCCUUAUGUCUUGGGCUUCGCGCAUGCUACAAUGGCCGGUACAGAGGGUUGCGAUACUGUGAGGUGGAGCUAAUCCCUAAAAGCCGGUCUCAGUUCGGAUUGGGGUCUGCAACUCGACCCCAUGAAGUCGGAGUCGCUAGUAAUCGCAGAUCAGCAACGCUGCGGUGAAUACGUUCCCGGGCCU